rnacentral:piRNA from 1 species
UAAAAGUGAUGAUUCACGUUUCUAAC